rnacentral:lncRNA from 1 species
CCGCUCAUGCGCAGCUGGGUCACCCAGGUCAUCAAUCUCCAGGUGGUCCUCAGUGAGAGAUAGGUCCUCUCAAUAUUCAAGAGCCACCCUUCUACAGGGGACCCCUGGACUGCCCAUCAGGGGGACAGGACAGAGGCACAAUCCUGCCCGUCUCCCUGGAUACCGCUCCCUGGCUGGCCACCACUUUCACUAACCCAUGGAGCCAACCGUGCCCUGACAGCAAGAGGCCAAUACUCACAGAACCACCACCGCUGCCCCUCUGUCAGCAGACAGCAGUUACAGAAGACUGACCUUUGUCCAUUUCCCUCAAGAACUGGGGUCUUGGCCUCCUGCGGGGGGAAAUGUUAGUGUGGGUAGCUAGGGGGUAUGAGCAGGGCAGGAGAGGGCUCCCCACCACCACACACACACAACAGGUGUGCUGGCCACCAUGAGGUGAUGGUCAGGUAGUUGUUAACUGUCUCUAAAGUAAUAAUUGGUCACAGCCAGCGCCAGGGAAAGACAGCCUCCUAACAGAUAGACAACAGCUGAAGCUGGUGAUCAGCAGCUUCCCGUUAAGAUCUCAGGAGCUGGGUGGGUGGGGAGAAGUAACACAAGACCCCGCAUUAUGUCACUGUAUCAAACCCCAAGUCAGAAGGUCAAACCACACACUGGUCUUUCAAGGUGCCCUCCUAGCCUUCUUCCAGGCGUACUUUCCUUCCUCCUUUAAAGCUUUUUAAUAAACUUCACUUCUGCUCUG